UGAUCCUGGCUCAGAACGAACGCUGGCGGCGUGGAUAAGACAUGCAAGUCGAACGGAGAUCUUGAAUAGCUUGCUAAUUGAGAUCUUAGUGGCGGACGGGUUAGUAACACGUGAGAACCUACCCUUUAGACAGGAAUAGCCCAUGGAAACGUGGAUUAAUGCCUGAUAGUCUCUACGGAGUAAAUGGUGCCUUCGGGUAUCGCUAGAGGAUGGGCUCGCGGCCUAUCAGCUUGUUGGUGAGGUAAAGGCUCACCAAGGCGACGACGGGUAGCUGGUCUGAGAGGACGAUCAGCAACACUGGAACUGAGACACGGUCCAGACACCUACGGGUGGCAGCAGUCGAGAAUCAUUCACAAUGGAGGCAACUCUGAUGGUGCAACGCCGCGUGGAGGAUGACGGUCCUAGGAUUGUAAACUCCUGUCAUUGGGGAGUAAGACUUAAGCGUUAAGAGCGUCUAAGUUUGAUAGUACCCAAAGAGGAAGGGACGGCUAACUUCGUGCCAGCAGCCGCGGUAAUACGAAGGUCCCAAGCGUUGUUCGGAAUCACUGGGCGUAAAGCGUGUGUAGGCUGCGCGGAAAGUCAAAUGUGAAAGCCCGGGGCUCAACCUCGGAACUGCAUUCGAUACUCCCGUGCUAGAGUAAUGGAGAGGUAAGUGGAAUUCCUGGUGUAGCAGUGAAAUGCGUGGAUAUCAGGAGGAACAUCAAUGGCGAAGGCAACUUACUGGACAUUUACUGACGCUCAGACACGAAGGCUAGGGUAGCGAAAGGGAUUAGAUACCCCUGUAGU
rnacentral:rRNA from 1 species